AGGGUGUAAACGCUGCAGACUUGGUGUUGGAGGCCCUUUGGGGGCAUUCAGUGCCGGAGAGAAGUUGUUAAGUCUGCUACUUGGGGAGUACGUCCGCAAGGAUGAAACUUAAAGGAAUUGGCGGGGGGAGCACCGCAACGGGAGGAGCGUGCGGUUUAAUUGGAUUCAACACCGUAAAACUCACCAGGGAAGACUGUCACAUGAAGGCCGAGAUGAAGACUCUGCUAGAUUUUCAGAGAGGAGGUGCAUGGCGUCAGUGACU
rnacentral:rRNA from 1 species